rnacentral:rRNA from 1 species
AAAAUGGGGAGUGAGCGUUGUUCGGAAUUACUUGGCGUAAAGCGCGUGUAGGCGGCCUAUUAUGUCAGGUGAGAAAGCCCUCGGCCUAACCGAGGAAGUGCGCCUGAAACUGCUAGGCUUGAGUACGAGAGAGGAGGACGGAAUUCCCAGUGUAGAGGUGAAAUUCGUAGAUAUUGGGAGGAACACCGGCGGCGAAAGCGGUUCUCUGGAACGAUAAUGACUCUAAGACGCGAAAGCGUCGGGAGCAAACAGG